GCCAAUGUGGCAUAGUGUUUUGAGCAUUGGACUAUGACUCUGGAGACCAGGGUUCAAUUCCUGCUCAGCCA